CCUACGGGAGGCAGCAGUGAGGAAUAUUGGUCAAUGGACGAGAGUCUGAACCAGCCAAGUCGCGUGAGGGAUGACUGCCCUAUGGGUUGUAAACUUCUUUUGUAUGGGAGUAAAAUGUUCCACGUGUGGGAUUUUGUACGUACCAGAAGAAUAAGGAUCGGCUAACUCCGUGCCAGCAGCCGCGGUAAUACGGAGGAUCCGAGCGUUAUCCGGAUUUAUUGGGUUUAAAGGGAGCGUAGGUGGAAUGUUAAGUCAGUUGUGAAAGUUGGCGGCUCAACCGCAAAACUGCAGUUGAAACUGGACGUCUUGAGUGCAGGAGAGGUAAGCGGAAUGCGUGGUGUAGCGGUGAAAUGCUUAGAUAUCACGAAGAACUCCGAUUGCGAAGGCAGCUUACUGGACUGCAACUGACGCUGAGGCUCGAAAGCGUGGGUAUCAAACAGGAUUAGAUACCCCAGUAGUC
rnacentral:rRNA from 1 species